rnacentral:rRNA from 1 species
GACGAACGCUGGCGGCGUGCUUAACACAUGCAAGUCGAACGGAAAGGCCCUGCUUGCAGGGUACUCGAGUGGCGAACGGGUGAGUAACACGUGGGUGACCUGCCCUGCACUUCGGGAUAAGCCUGGGAAACUGGGUCUAAUACCGGAUAGGAGCCAUUUUUAGUGUGAUGGUUGGAAAGUUUUUUCGGUGUAGGAUGAGCUCGCGGCCUAUCAGCUUGUUGGUGGGGUAAUGGCCUACCAAGGCGGCGACGGGUAGCCGGCCUGAGAGGGUGGACGGCCACAUUGGGACUGAGAUACGGCCCAGACUCCUACGGGAGGCAGCAGUGGGGAAUAUUGCACAAUGGGAGCAAGCCUGAUGCAGCGACGCCGCGUGGGGGAUGACGGCCUUAGGGUUGUAAACUCCGUUCGCUAGGGACGAAGCUUUUUGUGACGGUACCUAGAUAAGAAGCACCGGCCAACUACGUG